AUUCGUAAACAAAAUAAACGUGAAUUAAUAAGUAUUAUAACACAGGUACGAUAGAUUCGCACAAAUGCGCUUUAGAAAAUGCUUUUUUUAAUUUAAGACGAAAUAAACAAUCGAAACGACAAUUGCUGUUUGAAGAAUUGUUGAUAUCCCUUUCGCCGUCCCCCAACCUCUAUUUAUGUACCUUUGUCCAUUCUCGAACCUUCACCAACCCUAACCCUCGAGAUGCUUCGAGAAACGGGGAGAACGAAUUCUGACGAAGUCAAGGAAUUACGUUACGAUACUCAAAAAAAAUCGAAACAUUUCGAAGUUGCCGAAACAUUCGCUUCCAAACCAUCACGAUCCAGCGAAAACGCUUGAGAAUUUGCUGGACGUGUCCUUUUAUUAAUCCGUACUACCUUGUUAACUAUCAAUGGGUAAAACCAAGUUUUGAUCGUCUCAAACUCGCUAACACCUUUUUUCCUCCACAUUAUUCGAAUGUGGAGUAGAAAACGUCAUCACUUGUCGAGCGAUGGCUUCCCGCUUACAUUAGAGUAAAUUCUGUAUGCAAUUGCCGAAUACAGUUACUUUCAUUGUGAUGACUUAAUUAGAGCAUACAGAUGUUUUUCAAAUUUGUCUUUCGAUUGCACUAAUUGAUGGUGAAAAAACCGUUUUCAGAGUAUGAGACGAUUCUUGCAGCUUCUGCAUCAUUUGCAAAUAAAGUUAUAGUGGAAUAAACGAGUAUAAACGCACGAUUACUCGAGCAGACUGAAAUAUAACGGUAUAGCAAAAAAAUGCGGUAUAUGAAAUAAUGCACAGUUGCGAAAAUUUAGGUUACUGAAGCACUCAAUAGUGCAAUUACCUGUCCCAAUAAUCAAUUCCUUAAUUGUAUAGUAACGAUGAACAAAUUGGUCUCGCAUUUUGGAUAAGAAAACUGGUAGAACAUCGUAACGUCAUUUAGAAAAAGGCACUACUUCAUCUCUUUAAGUUAUUUAAACGAGGCUAAAUGAUUGCAACCUUAUCAGUAAAUUGCAGAUUGCUGUAUUGGUCUGGUAAACGAAGGAAAGGUUGUUUAAAAUAAGUAGCGCAAAAGUACCCUCCCUACAAAAAGCUUUGGUUAUCAUCAAUCACCAAUUUUCUAUAA